GACGAACGCUGGCGGCGUGCCUAAUACAUGCAAGUAGGACGCAGUUGCGCACGGGUGAGUAACGCGUAGGUAACUGCCUCUUAGAGGGGGAUAACUCAUGGCAAAGAUAGCUAAUAUCGCAUACUAGUAGAUGGACCUGCGUUGUAUUAGCUAGUAGGUAGGGUAAUGGCCUACCGAGGCAACGAUAGAUACACGACCGGAGAGGGGGAUCCGCAACACUGGGUAUGGAGCACGGCCCAGACUCCGACCGGUGGCAGCCGGAGGGAAUCUGCGGCAAUGGGGGGGACCCUGACCGGGCAACGCCGCGGGAGUGAAGGAGGUUUUCGGAUCGUAAAGCUCUGUUGGUAAGGAAGCGGUACUUAACCAGAAAGGGACGGCUAACUACGUGCCAGCAGCCGCGGUAAUAC
rnacentral:rRNA from 1 species